CACAUGGAAAAUUCAUUGCAAGAGAAGAGAUGGAAUAUAACUGUUUCCAAAUUCUUGACGACGAAGGAAUAUUUUUCCAAAAAAAAAAGACGAAGGAAUACACACUAAAUGUUAUACAAUCAGGUCAAUGAUUUACCAGAGGAAGUAAGACAUGGACAAAACUGAGAAGACAAAGAAGCAAAAGAGUCCUACUGAACUUGAUGAGGAUAAUGAUACAAAGGAAACUACUGUACCCUACUUUGCACAGGAAAUUGUAUGCAAGGAGUGGUUCAGUAUAAUAGGGUUGGGGGCCAUUUUGCUAUCCUCAUUGACCAUCUUAGUACCAAUAAAAAUGGAAGGAUUUUCUGUCUCUGAACCAAUAAUGGCGGAUGGAUUGAUGUGGGCAUAGGGAGUGCCCUUCGUCACCACAGUUACAUUCAUUACCCUGAUCGAUUGAUACCUCCUCAUCCAUCUUCUCCAAUUCCUAUCUUCACUUUACUAUUUUCAUCUUCACAUGGGGGCCAUUGUGCCAAAGCAUGUUUUGGUCCUCUUACAUAUUACACUUCUUCCAUUCUUGGCUUUCAUUGGGUUUCUCGUUAUUAAUUUGUGAGGUCAUGUAAUUGAUUUGCCAAUUUAAAGUAGUGAUGGGAGUACGAUGUCUUGUAUUUCAUCACUUGCAUAAGUGAGCUGUUUUUUAAGGAUUGUUAAAAGGUUGAAGGCCCAGCAAAUUUUUCAUUUCAAUAAAUAUUUUGUAUAGAAUUUCACUAUAAAUUAUAGCAAUGGUUCUUUCUCUAUAAGUAAAAUCAAAAAGAGAUGUGAGGACAAGCAGUUGUAACCCCAUUCUCAAUCGGUAAUGAAACAGAUCUCAUCUCACUAUAGUUGUAAACAAUUUUUUUGAAUAACGUAAAAUCUUUGUAGCAA